UGCGAACGCCGAUGCCGCCGCGAUCCUGCGGCCCCUCUGCCACUGCUACUGCUACUGUGCCCGCGUGCUCUGGGACACGCGCCCCUUCCUCUUGGUCAGUGUGCAACCCCCUGGACCCAGCGUGUCCCGCAACCCUGGCGCGCACGCCAGGACUCAGAGGGGAAAUUGUGCCAGAGCUCCGCAGCUGCUUAGUGAAGGAUGGCGCGGUUCCCGGCAGAAGCGCGCUGAAAGAAGACAAAACAGCUCCUUUCUUUCCAUUGUUACUUCCCCUCCUGAGUCCUACCAGACGGGUGGUAAGAGGCGAGCCUGGAAGAGAACCUAUAGUCAGCAUCUCCUGAGAUCCAGCCACGUUGGAACUUAGGGUACUGAGCAAGAAAGUAACACGCCUCCUUUCCUAGUAAGUGGCCGAGGCAAGAACGAGCAGCAGGCGAGCCCGGAAGAGAACCAGUCAGUGUCUCCUGUGGGCCUACAGCUUGGGUUGAUAAUCAGACAUCCCAUUCCCCCCCUCACCCAUUAGCAACUAGGAGCCAGAGGUCUGAGCAUCUCUUGGGAGGAUAACAGUAUGCAAUAUAGCAAACAUGGGGGGAUUUCCUUCUAUCUUCUCUUUGAAGGCAAAUAUAGUUUUCACUGUUUUGCUUUGUUCUGCUUGUUUUGCACUAUUCAAUAUUCUUUUUGAUAGGUUUUAUAGUGUUCUGUUCUUGGUUUGAUUUUGCUAUACCUGAUUGAAUGGACAACUAUUGUGAAGCUAAUGAGAUACACUAGGGUACCAAUUACUGUUAUCCUGGUAACCUGCUGUGAAGUUCUGUACCAAUCUCAUUGCAUUGUCUUGACUGGCUUUGUUCUGUCUUGUUCUGUUGUAUUUUACUACCUUCAAAAACAAACAAACAAAAAACCCCAAAAAACAAAAGCCAGCUGCUUCUUGACCUAAUAGGAAGGUUGGGCUGGGUCUUCAGAUGGCAAGAUGGAAUUCCAGGUUGUAACCUCAGAAGGACACCUUUGGGUGAAUGUCCUCUUCCUGGGUCCCAUCCUUCACUGCUCAGCUCACUCUGAGAUUUACCCAGGCAACAAGUGAGCCCAGUUGGCUUCCUCAGGCUGCCAGUUCUACCCUCCUAGCCCCAAGUUGGUCUGGAAGGUCUAGGGGGUUUUGGGGGUGCAAUAAACAAUUGUCUCUAAAGGCAGAGAAGGAGAAGGGGACCUACCAAGUAUUGGCCCUGUCCCCCGAGUCCCAGUCAGAAGGUCCAGCCAAGUCUGGAAGCCUUCCGAGAGUCCCGGGACUCCAGCUCUGGUUUUGCCCAGGAUCUCAAGUCUGAACUCCAGUGCCUCAUGCUUAGGCAGGUCCCAGGUCCCCAGGGCUAGAAAGUAAAGAUCUGGAGCCUGGGACGCUGUGCCAGCCUCUGACCUUAACCACAGGACUACAUGGACUCCUAUUUCUUGGACCCGCCUCUCUCUGUCUGCUGGAAAUCACCCAGCCAUGGUCUCUCUGCUCUUGCCCCAUGCAACCUGUGACUCCCUGUAAAGUACAAAGCUGACUCUGUCCUCCAUUGCUGCAGGAUGAAGCCAGGCCCCUUACUGCUGCACGUAAGACCCUCUAUCACCUGACCCCAACCUGCACUCAUCCUUCCCUAUCCUUCUCUCCUCCCCUAGGAACCCUUGUAGCAGUCCUCACUGGACAGUCCAUGUUUACGCCUUCCAUUGUCUGGCACCUCUGAUGAGAGUGUCUCUCCAACUCAACCAAGAACUCAAUUUCAUCCCUCCAGGCCCAGCUGGGGAGUCUCCUCCAGAUUGCCUGGCCUGUCCCGUAGGUAGUGUUAGCAGCGCAGUCUUCUGGGCUCCUAUCUUAAUAAGCUUCUGGAGGCCCUCACAUGUCCCAGCACAGGCUACUCUGUCUCCUGUGGCUUUGGAAGCAGGGCAGCUCCCCUUUUCAGCCAGCCAGCCAAGGCCUGGCCCAGGGCAGGUAUCUGUGAACAGUGAUCCAAGGAAUGAACCCACCUGAGGGUCUGCCCUGUGGAUUAUUUCAACUACCAUGGUGAUUAUCUUGCUAUAGCCCAUGCCACCCAGCUUGCUGAAGCCAAAUGAGCCAGCACUUUGGAAAGAAAAACUGAAUGCAUCAUACAAAUGAAUGGGCUGUAAUUAGACCUGGGAACAGGGUCAGAGGGAGAACUGGGGUGACAAGGUGGAGUAUGUGCUUAGGGCUCCCAUCCAAAGCCCCUUAAGGAAAAGAAGCAGGUGACAGGCAGGAGGAAUAGCACCUGCAGGGUGUGGGCGAUGGGGCCUGUGUCUCUGCUCUACCCCAGACCAUUCACUCCUCCUGGGACUCACUUUCCCUACCUGUGCAGUUGGGAGACACAAUCUCUGCUCGACUUCUUCCAAGGGUCUCAGUAAGGAUUAGGGAGGUAGGGUGGGGAUCCUUUGCAAACUGUAAGGUGCAGUCAGCACAUGCAGACUGUCAUUCUGGAAGCCAGGCCCAGCUGGGCUCGAGUGAGGACAGGAGUGCUAGCCAUGAAAACACUGUUUUGAGGGUCAGAACCUGGUCCUUUAAGCACCUUCAGAUCUUCAAUACUCCCUCCCCAACUUCCUCAGCAUCCUUUGCUCUGGCUGGGAAUGAUACCCAGGGUUGCUGGGCUUUGGGUGGGUGUAGCUCCUGCCCGGGCUCCACUUCUCUCUCACAGUGGAGGUAGAGGCCAUAUCAGCCGCACCCUCAGCAUGGCAGAAACUGUAGGUAGGCAGCUCUGCUCCCAAGCUCAGCAAGUGGCUUCUUGAUGAACAGGUGCAGGAAGGGCCCUAGCCCCGUGCCAUCUUCCCGGAUCACCUGCUUCCAUGAAGUCUGUCCCUCUGCAGCCUAGCUCAUCCCUGGUGAGGGGAAGGAUGCCCUGUGGUGGAUUGUUUCUUGCAGAACACAAGUGGUCACCAGCUGGGGAUAGAGAGCAGCUUCUGCCCAUUCUGGCCACCUGCAGGUGAAGGGCCCAGGUUCAGAGGAGGCCUGAGUUCAGCUCAUCCUUUCUCUUGGGUCUGGUUCCAUCUCAGAUCCAGAAGGGCACUGAGGCGAGGGCUGCCCAGAGUUCUGAUGGUCCCUUCAGAGCAGCGCCUUGAGGAGGAAGGAGAGGGAGGCUCCACAGGAGAGUCCCAGGGCCAGGAAGAAAGUCAUAAGGGCGCCAGCCACCUCUCUCUCAUGAGGCAGCACCUGCCUGGAACACACAGAAGUAGGAGCUAUUAGAAAACACUGGGCCCAGAUCUGGAGCAGCUCCAAGGCCCUCACCUCAUCCCUGUGUCACUGUAAUCUGGCCUGUCUGAGCUCAUUUUACCCACUUGUAAAACGAGGCCAUAGGACAAGGCCAUCACUUAGCCUUUGCUGCCUGUGCAGGAUUUUAUUUUUUGGUACCAGGAAUUGAACUCAGGACCUUACACUUGCCAGGAAGGUGCUUAUGCCACUGAGCUAUAUUCCUGGCCUGUCUAUAGCAUUUUAGAUUCCACUGCCUUACUUGUUGACAGAGUGUCCCUAAACUGGCCGUUACCUUUCCUCUCCCGAGAUUCUCGACUCUUUGCUUCUGGAGGAAAAAAAAAUCUCCAAAUUUUGCUUUUGACCAAAACCAGUUCUCCUUCAACAGAGAAUUCUGGAGCGAGAUGGGCUAUGAGAGAUAACAGUCCAAUUCACUGUCUUACUGAUGGAGAAACUGAGGCCCAAGGAGGCAGCCCCAGAACCAGUGCCAGGGCUACGUAGGUAGGUAUAUCUGUAGCUCCAGGUGUGGGGCCAGUUCAGACCCAGCAAGGCCUCGGCACAGCCAGCUGGGCUGGCCAGGGCAGAAGGGCCAGCUUCCCCGCAUUAUGGCUGUUCCUUUUCCAACAGCUAGCCCCCUCCCUAGCCCAGCAUGCGCCCCAAUGCUCCCCCAGACCUGGGUGCCAGGCACAUGGUGAGGGACACCAGGUAGCCAUUGGAGAUGGCAAACAGCAGCAUGAAUGUGAUGAAGUAGGCAUCCUGCCGGAAGAGGAUGGGCAGCCGUGCCCGCUCAGGCACGUGGCACAGCAUGAAGAGUGGCACGAACAGGAAUCGCAGGCAUACCAGCAGGGGCAGCAGUCGGCUGUCCUCAUCUGGCUGUGGCAGAGGCUCAGGUAAGCGUAGUCCCCGGGCUAGGUCUCUGUUCCAGGGGCACUUUGGACACUUACAGGACAGACCCAUCAGUCACCCCCAUCCUCUUCUGCCCUAUCCAUGAGCCAGUGGGGAUCUAGUACUGGGGCCUCUGGGAAUAAGAGCCGAGGCCAUUCAGCAAGCAGGGACAGCCUGGAGCUAGCCUUGGCUUCUCCCAGUAUCUACCUUGUGCGCUCUGCAUUGCAAAACUGGACAAGGGCGUGGACAGAGUUCAUGGUUUUCAAACUUGGCUUCCCAGGGGAGCCUUAGGGGGUUCCACAGAACCCUUUGGAAUAGCUGGAAUUCCUUUAAUGAUAAUUUUUGAUAAAGCUGCACACACUUGUGUGAUACCAUAUGAUAUUCUGAUGCAUGCAUACAUUGUGUAAUGUUCAAGUCAGAACAAUUACCUCCAGCUCCUCCAGCAGGUAUCAUUUGUUUGUGGUAAAAAUAUGCCAAAUCUUGUCUGCUGGCUUUUAGGAAACAUACACUGCAGUAUUGUUAUCUAUGGUCACCCUACUGUGCUACUGCACAAAACUACUGCACAGUACGCCAAGUGUAUUUAUUUAUUGUCUUUUUGAGAUAGGGUCUCACUAUGCAGUUCAGGCUGGCCCUGAGCUCACUUAGUAGUCCAGGCUGGUCUUGAACUUGCAAGAAUCCUGCCUCAGCCUCCUGAGUGCUGGGAUUACAGGUGUGGGCCACCACGCCUGGUGCGUAUCUCUUCUGUCCAGCUGUAACUUAGUGCUUGACUGAGCAGGGUGGGCAGCUGGACAGCUAGCACCCUCCUCUCUGGUCUGCUGCAUGUACUGUGUCUUCUCGGGAAGUUUCACUUAAAGAAACAACCUUUUGACUAGAAGCAAUACAAAAACCAGGAAUCCUGUCCAACCUGUCCCUGGGUGCAGGAACCACUUUGUGACAAUCUUGGAACAUGACAGCUGGGCCCUGGGUUGGAUGCUGGGGCCACAGAGCUCAGCUGGACAUGGCCCCUGCUGUUGAGGAACUCAGUACAAGUGCCGACCUGCGCGGUCCAGGGCCACUUGGGGUGCUCUACUGCCAGACCAACUGGAGUGUUACAGUCAUCUCUGUCUGUGCUUUCAUGUCCUCCGCUCUUCAACUGCUUCCUAAAACCAUGGCUCACCCAGCCCGGUGUGCUCACCCAGAGGAAGUAGGAAGUCAGGCUGCGGCCCAGCCAGUCCAUGAUGUUGAAGAGCAGAAAACAGCAAAUGGGGUUGAAGAACUGACCUGGGGGAAAGACAGGGCUGGCGAUUCACCUAGUCCCUAACUCCCCAGUUCCCUCUACCUACUUUGCCCCCCCCCAUCCUUUUCAGUACCCCAACACUCACUCCACUUCCCAGGGCCAGUGGAGCUGGUCACCAUGGCUGUGAUGGCAGGGAAGACGGACAGGGUGACUGUGAAGACCAACACAAGGCACAGCGCCGUCAGCCAGAUCUGGGAGCCGGAGGCAGGGGUGUGAGCAGGUCCCAGGACUUACCAGACUGUAGGAGCUCAGCUUUGGUCUCCAGUUCCUGAGCUGGCACCUGUGAGGGCUUCUUGGUGAGAUGGUAGCGGGCAAACUCCUGUACAAGGAUCAGAAGUGUCAGCUGUGCCUGAGGGAAAAGCUGGGGAAACGAGGAAAGAAGUGCUCACAGUUGAUGAACCAGACGGAGGCCAUGGUGAUGGAAAAGAAGGGCCCAGGGCUCACGUCCACCUUGACCAACGCUGCUGUCAGGGCAAAGAGCAGUAGUAUGGCCAGCAGGCUGCCCAGAAUGCGCACCGCCUCAGGGAUGCUGCUUGGAAAGGGCAGAGGGCAUCUGAGGCUGAGGCCCAGCAGGGGCAGGCAAGCAAGAGGUUCUACCAAGGGCAGGGCAGUGGGGUUAGGGCAGUACAGAGCAAGUUGGGGAAGGGUGGGUGGCCUGGGGCAGGGUCUCACCACUGGUACAGGAAGGAGUUGAGGAGAGUGAAGAGCAGCAGGGGCAGCUGGGACAGCAGUGUCACCCAGUUGUUGAAGCUGAAAGCGUCUGUGGGGCCCGUGUGGUUGGAACUCAAGGUCCCGACUGUGCUGUUGACCCCUGCCAGUCGCGCCUGGAAAUACUGGGGCGGGGGGGGGGUGUAGCAUCAGGAAUCCCCCACGGUACCAUCCCAGCCACACUAGCAAUUGCUUGGCUAUGGGUGCCUUGUCCUUGCACUGUCCCCAGUCCUUGGCAGGGUCAGAGCUCCCUGGAUGUGCAAUGAUUUGAUUGGCUGAAGUCUGGGACAGAGCCCAAGCCUUAGGAACCUCCCUGUGUUGGCCUUGCUAAACUGCCACCCUCAUCCCUGCAGCAGCCUCCAGAUUUAUGCAUACUCACCCUGAGCCAGGUUCUGCUUUCCUUACUGGCCCACUGCUUUCUUUUUGGAACACAUCCUGUCAUUUCCUGCUUAACCCCUUUCCCACCUUCUGCCUGCAGGGCAGAGGCCCAAGACAUUUUGUUUUGUUGUAUAGUAGGGACUGGACCCCAGGCUAGGUGUAUGCUAGCUACACAAGUGCUCUGCCACUAAGCAGCACCCAGAGCACUAGGCAGCACCCCCAGCUCUUCUGCCUGUUUUGUUUUGUAUUGAGACAGGCCUUUGGUAAGUUGUGGAGGUUGGCCUGGAAACUGCAGUCCUGUGUCAGUAGCUGGGAUUACAAGUGUGCAUCACUGGACUCCACUAAGUCCCAAGGUUUUAGAACAGCAUUUGAGAGCCUUCAGAAUCAGAUCCCAGCCUCUCUUUUAUGCCCUGUUCCUUGUUCUGUUCUGCUAAACUUUAGGACCCCAAGCUUUGGGUCUUUUUUGAAUAAUCUUUUGCCUUCACCUGGAAUGCCCUUUCCUCUUCUACUAUCCUCCCAGGCCCACAUAUACUUUGCCCACUCUGCUCUCAGUUUAUGAGUCUCUUCUACAAAGUUAGGAGUAAUCCCAGUAUUAGGGAAGCUAAGGCAGGAGGACUGCAAGUUUGAGGGCAACCCGGGCUACCCAGUGAGUUCAAGGCCAGCCUGGACAACACAGUAGGUCUUAUCUUAAAAAACCAAAACCGGGGGCUAGGGAUUUAGCUCAGUGGCAUAAGUACCUGCCUUGCAAGUGUAUGGUUGUGAGUUCGAUCCCUGGUACAGAUAAAAACAAAAAAUGAAAAAAAAAAAAAAAAAACCCAAACCAACAGCAAAAAACACAUCCCCAACCCCAAACCUCUCUUACAAAGCAGAAGGAAUAUUUUCCUGCAGACCCAAAACACUCUACUGUAAGUCAGGGAUGGCAGGUGUCAUGUUUCCCCAAAUCCUGGCACUGGAGAAAUGAACUCAGGGCACUCGUAUUGAUAAAUUUUUUUUUUUUUGUCUUUUUGAGACAGGGUCUCGCUAUGCAUUCAGGCUGGCCUUGAGCUUACUUUGUAGCCCAGGCUGGUCUCGAAUGCGCAACAAUCCUCCUGCCUCAGUCUCCCGAGUGCUGGGAUUACACACUUGAGCCACCAUGCCUGGCUCUCGAUAAUUUUUUUAAAAGCCCUAAAAAUUAUUUAUUUUUAAAGUUCUGAGACAAGGUUUCACUAAGUUAGGCAACUUUUUUGGUACUGGGGAUCAAACUCACGACCUGGCCUCGUCAGGCAGGCACUUGUGCAACUGAGCCAAAGCCCUGGACCCUGGGCUUAAACUUUCAAUCCUUCUACCUCAGCUUCUGCAGGCUCAGGCCACCACACCCUGGUGGCAUGCUACAUUAUUAAUAACUUUGGUCCCAUAUUGUUUUCAAGAGCAGAGGCUGAUUCAUCUUAUGGUUUCCAGGACCCAAAAGGGAGCCAGGCAUUCCAGAGAAAUUUAUCACACUGCAUAUAUAAGAAUAACCAGAUCUCAAAGAUAACGCACAUUCCACACUUCUGCUUUUUCAUAGCCCUUGUGAAUAAGGUUCCUAAGGUGGGUUUCUAACAUCCCUCUGUUAUGAAUUCACUAUAUCUUUACUGCCUGGUCCAAAGCAAUUGCACAUUAAAUGUUUGUUGAAUAAA